UACGAAGGGGGCUAGCGUUGUUCGGAAUCACUGGGCGUAAAGCGCACGUAGGCGGAUCGCUAAGUCGGGGGUGAAAUCCCGAGGCUCAACCUCGGAACUGCCUUCGAUACUGGCGAUCUUUGAGUCCGGGAGAGGUGAGUGGAACUCCGAGUGUAGAGGUGAAAUUCGUAGAUAUUCGGAAGAACACCAGUGGCGAAGGCGGCUCACUGGCCCGGUACUGACGCUGAGGUGCGAAAGCGUGGGGAGCAAACAGG
rnacentral:rRNA from 1 species